CACGUAGGCACCAAGCGUUGUCCGGAUUUAUUGGGCGUAAAGAGCUCGUAGGCGGUUCGGUAAGUCGGGUGUGAAACUCUGGGCUCAACCCAGAGCCGCCACCCGAUACUGCUGUGACUUGAGUGCGGUAGGGGAGCGGGGAAUUCCUGGUGUAGCGGUGAAAUGCGCAGAUAUCAGGAGGAACACCAGUGGCGAAGGCGCCGCUCUGGGCCGUGACUGACGCUGAGGAGCGAAAGCGUGGGUAGCAAACAGG
rnacentral:rRNA from 1 species